AACGAACGCUGGCGGCAGGCCUCAAACAUGCAAGUCUAGGGGGUGUAGCAAUACAUCACCGGCGGACGGGUGCGUAACGCGUGGGAAUAUACCUAUUGGUUCGGAACAACUGAGGGAAACUUCAGCUAAUACCGGAUAAGCCCUUACGGGGAAAGAUUUCUCGCCAAUAGAUUAGCCCGCGUCCGAUUAGCUAGUUGGUGGGGUAAAAGCCUACCAAGGCGACGAUCGGUAGCUGUUCUGAGAGGAAGAUCAGCCACACUGGGACUGAGA
rnacentral:rRNA from 1 species